rnacentral:rRNA from 1 species
GACGAACGCUGGCGGCGUGCUUAACACAUGCAAGUCGAACGAAGUGGCGAACGGGUGAGUAACGCGUAAUCAACCUGCCCUUCAGAGGGGGACAACAGUUGGAAACGCCUGCUAAUACCGCAUACUUAAGGAGGGGAUUGCGUCUGAUCAGCUGGUUGGAGGGGUAACGGCCCACCAAGGCGAGGAUCAGUAGCCGGGCUGGGAGGAUGAACGGCCAAAUUGGGACAGAGACAAGGCCCAGACUCCCACGGGAGGCAGCAGGGGGGAAUCUUCCGAAAUGGACGAAAGUCUGACGGAGCAACGGCGCGUGAGUGAUGACGGCCUUCUGGUUGUAAAGCUCUGUUAAUCGGGACGCGGUACCGGAAUAGAAAGCCACGGCUAACUACGUGCCAGCAGCCGCGGUAAUUC